GAUGAACGCUGGCGGCGUGCUUAACACAUGCAAGUCGAACGAAGCAAAAAAGUUGCUUGCAACUUUUUUGACUGAGUGGCGGACGGGUGAGUAACGCGUGGGUAACCUACCCUGUACAGGGGGAUAACAGUUAGAAAUGACUGCUAACACCGCAUAAGCACACACUGUCGCAUGACAGAGAGUGAAAAAGAAUUUCGGUACAGGAUGGGGCCCGCGUCUGAUUAGCUAGUUGGCAAGGUAAAGGCUUACCAAGGCGACGAUCAGUAGCCGGCCUGAGAGGGUGGACGGCCACAUUGGGACUGAGACACGGCCCAAACUCCUACGGGAGGCAGCAGUGGGGAAUAUUGCACAAUGGGGGAAACCCUGAUGCAGCGACGCCGCGUGAGUGAAGAAGUAUUUCGGUAUGUAAAGCUCUAUCAGCAGGGAAGAAAAUGACGGUACCUGACUAAGAAGCCCCGGCUAACUACGUG
rnacentral:rRNA from 1 species